UGCAAACUGCGAAUACCGGAGAAUGUUAUCACGGGAGACACACGGCGGGUGCUAACGUCCGUCGUGAAGAGGGAAACAACCCAGACCGCCAGCUAAGGUCCCAAAGUCAUGGUUAAGUGGGAAACGAUGUGGGAAGGCCCAGACAGCCAGGAUGUUGGCUUAGAAGCAGCCAUCAUUUAAAGAAAGCGUAAUAGCUCACUGGUCGAGUCGGCCUGCGCGGAAGAUGUAACGGGGCUAAACCAUGCACCGAAGCUGCGGCAGCGAACGUAUCACCCAAGACAACUUUACGGAGUUGACGAUUGACGGAGCGAAGCGACGUCAAAGCGUUCAUUAAAGUCGAGUUGGCUUAGGGAUACGUUCGUUGGGUAGGGGAGCGUUCUGUAAGCCUGUGAAGGUGUGUCGUGAGGCAUGCUGGAGGUAUCAGAAGUGCGAAUGCUGACAUAAGUAACGAUAAAGCGGGUGAAAAGCCCGCUCGCCGGAAGACCAAGGGUUCCUGUCCAACGUUAAUCGGGGCAGGGUGAGUCGACCCCUAAGGCGAGGCCGAAAGGCGUAGUCGAUGGGAAACGGGUUAAUAUUCCCGUACUUGGUGUUACUGCGAAGGGGGGACGGAGAAGGCUAUGUUGGCCGGGCGACGGUUGUCCCGGUUUAAGCGUGUAGGUGUGUGUUCCAGGUAAAUCCGGUUCACUUUAACACUGAGGCGUGACGACGAGGCACUACGGUGCUGAAGCAACAAAUGCCCUGCUUCCAGGAAAAGCCUCUAAGCAUCAGGUAACACGAAAUCGUACCCCAAACCGACACAGGUGGUCAGGUAGAGAAUACCAAGGCGCUUGAGAGAACUCGGGUGAAGGAACUAGGCAAAAUGGUGCCGUAACUUCGGGAGAAGGCACGCUGACACGUAGGUGAAGUG
rnacentral:rRNA from 1 species